AUCCAACCGAAUUUGGCUCG
rnacentral:miRNA from 1 species